AAGCCAGUGGUGAACUCCACAUACGCAUCCUUUGCUGAGGAUACGGUUAACGGAGCGAAAGCGACGUUCAACCUCAAAAGAAGCAGAGGGGGCUUAGUGGUGGGGUGACUGCGUACCUUUUGUAUAAUGGGUCAGCGACUUAUAUUCUGUAGCAAGGUUAACCGCAUAGGGGAGCCGUAGGGAAACCGAGUCUUAACCGGGCGUUAAGUUGCAGGGUAUAGACCCGAAACCCGGUGAUCUAGCCAUGGGCAGGUUGAAGGUUGGGUAACACUAACUGGAGGACCGAACCGACUAAUGUUGAAAAAUUAGCGGAUGACCUGUGGCUGGGGGUGAAAGGCCAAUCAAACCGGGAGAUAGCUGGUUCUCCCCGAAAGCUAUUUAGGUAGCGCCUCGUGAAUUCAUCUCCGGGGGUAGAGCACUGUUUCGGCUAGGGGGCCAUCCCGGCUUACCAACCCGAUGCAAACUGCGAAUACCGGAGAAUGUUAUCACGGGAGACACACGGCGGGUGCUAACGUCCGUCGUGAAGAGGGAAACAACCCAGACCGCCAGCUAAGGUCCCAAAGUCAUGGUUAAGUGGGAAACGAUGUGGGAAGGCCCAGACAGCCAGGAUGUUGGCUUAGAAGCAGCCAUCAUUUAAAGAAAGCGUAAUAGCUCACUGGUCGAGUCGGCCUGCGCGGAAGAUGUAACGGGGCUAAACCAUGCACCGAAGCUGCGGCAGCGAACGUAUCACUUAAAGCGAUUCAGCGGGUUACGAUUGACGGAGCGAAGCGACGUCAAAGCGUAUACAAAGUCGAGUCGGUUUAAGGAUACGUU
rnacentral:rRNA from 1 species